AGUAAUGGGCUGUUGGUAGUUUGCACCAACUAGCCCAACUCUCAUUUCUAAUAUUACAACUGCCCAUACAGCUGAACCUUCAGACGGACCUCAAGAAGACUACGCCAGCAUUGCAUGAUCAAGCCAUUGUGACAGUGUCGCUGAGGGCACUUAAAUUCCAACUGCUCGUCACGACGGGCCCCAACAAGCUCAGCAGCGCCGAGCCGAACAAGACGGAGGUGCUCCCUUACACCGCUGUAUGCCGAGAGACCGUCCCGAACCAGAGUCAGUGGCACUGGUCGAUGAGUAAAGAGGACGGCUGCGUCCACGGCACGUACCAAGAUCGGUGGAUGGCUUCGCUUCAUGAAGCAAGUGAUAUUUACUUUGCAAACUUCACGACAGGUGUGGCUAUUUUCGACAUAGCCUAUGACGACUAUGAGGGCAUUUGCAAUCAAAAGUACCCCCUGACGACCAUGAUUGUGCGAGGCCUGAACAUUUCGCACAUAAUGCAUUAAGUGCUCGGAAACUGUAGCAUGCAUAAUAUUAAAAUAUCUGUUCCAUAAUGAAAAAACAAAGAAAGAACUGUCCCACAUGAAACAAUGAUUGACACAUAACUUCUUUUUCUUUUAACAUUUAGUUGUUUUUGCCUUUAUUAUUAAGAGCUAAAAAAUUAAAGAAAUGUACUUUGCAUUAAGAGCUCAGAAAAUGUAACACAUUUAAUACUAAAAAGGUCCAUUUCGGAAUAAAAAUAAACAAGAACUGUCACGCAUAAAAUGAUCACUGACGCACAACUUUUUUUUUAUUUUGAACAUCGUGGUUGUUUGCGGCUUUAAUGUAGGGUGAAAAAGCUAUAGACAACUAUUUUGAGAUACAAUUUAAAUGCGCACGAAGAACUGUCACGCAUAAAACGUUCAUUGUCACACGAUUUUGGUCUGUACAUCAUGAUCAUACGAAGCCUGGGCAUUGCAUAUAACAUAUGUGAAAAUUCUGGCUUAUUAAAAUGAAUAUGUCCGUUUUUGAAUAGAAUUAAUUAAACAUGAACUAUCACGCAUGAAACACUUGAAGCCACACUGCUUUCGUUGGAUCACGAUUGUUCGGAAGCUGAAUAUCUUGAGUAUUGUGCAUCAAGUGCCCAAAAUUGUAGCACAUAUCAAGUAUGUCGCAGAUGUCCGUU